GACAAGGUAGCCUAACGGUAAGGCAGCACGUUGGAAGCGUGCCGUUGCGGGUCUGUCGCAUUCCCGGUUCGAAUCCGGGUCUUGUCGC
rnacentral:tRNA from 3 species